CCUACGGGUGGCUGCAGUGAGGAAUAUUGGUCAAUGGGCGUAAGCCUGAACCAGCCAUGCCGCGUGAAGGUCAGUGCCCUAUGGGCGGUAAACUUCUUUUGUGCGGGAGCAAUAAUGGUCACGUGUGGCCAGACGCUAGUACCGUACGCAUACGCAUCGGCUAACUCCGUGCCAGCAGCCGCGGUAAUACGGGGGAUGCAAGCGUUAUCCGGAUUUAUUGGGUUUAAAGGGUGCGUAGGCUGUGAGGUAAGUCAGCGGGGGAAUGCCCCCGCUCAACGGGGUGAGGUGCCAUUGAUACUGGCUUGCUGGAAUGCGGAUGCCGUGGGAGGAAUGUGUGGUGUAGCGGUGAAAUGCAUAGAUAUCA
rnacentral:rRNA from 1 species